rnacentral:rRNA from 1 species
AAUAAAGUUCUAAUUCAUGUACACAUCGCCCGUCGCUCUAAUUUUAUAAUUAGAUAAGUCGUAACAAAGUAGAAGUUCCGGAAGGAGUGUCUAGUUAAGUAGAGCUUGAAAGUUAAGCAGUUCAUUUACAUUGAAACGAUCUUGUUCAAACAAGUGUUUAUAAUUAGUUUAAAAAUUUUUUAUUUAAGUUUGUAUAAUUUUAGUUUUAAAUAAAAUUUAUUUAAUUAAAAAAAACUGAGGGGGAACAGUGAAAUAUAAUUAAAUAAAUUUUAUUUAAAAAUAAGAAACGUACUUUUUGUAUCAUAGUUAGUUUAUUUUUUAAUAAAUAUUUUUUCUCGAAUAUUAAAGAUUAGAAUUUAAUUAAAAUAAUUAUAUAAAAAAUUAUAAAAAAUUAAUUUCAGCAUUGAAAAGGUUUUCGGUUUAAUAAAUUUCUAGUUAUUUAAAAAUUUGUUUGGCGUAUAUUUAUUAAAAAUAUAAAAAUUUAUGUAAAUAAUUUAAGGGAUAAGCUUUAAAUUUAUUAUUUUAUAAUUUUUUAUGAUAUAAAAUUUAAAAUGAAGCUUGAAAAAAGCUUUAAGUUAGUUAUAUUUUAUAAAUUUAUUAAAAAAAUUUGUUUAAAAGAUUUAAAAUGUUUAAAUAGUAAAUUUUAACUAAAAAUUUUAUUUUUAAUGGUUAAAUUAUUAAAAUUAUAAAUUUUUAGUUUAGUAAAAAUAUUAAUUUUAUGAACUUUACAUAAUUUAUAGGAUUGUUUAACAAAAACAUUUCUUUUUGUUUAUUUAAAAAGUAUAGUCUGCCCACUGAAAAAUUGAAGGGCCGCGGUAUUUUGACCGUGCUAAGGUAGCAUAAUCAUUAGUUUCUUAAUUAGAAAAUGGAAUGAAUGGCUUGACCUUUAAAUUUUUUAUUAAGUUAAUAAUUUUGAAUUUUAUUUUAAAGUGAAAAUUCUUUAUUAAAUUUAAAAGACGAUAAGACCCUAUAGAGCUUGAUUAAUUAAGUUAAAAAAAUUUUGGGGGAAAAUUUUUUUAACUUAAUUAAUUUGAUUGGGGCAAUCUUAGAAUAAAAGAAACUUCUUAUAAUAAAACUUGAAUUUUAAACAUAAAAAGUUACCUUAGGGAUAACAGCGUAAUAAUUUUUAAGAGUCCUAAUCGAUAAAAUUGUUUGCGACCUCGAUGUUGAAUUAAAAAAUCUUUUAGGGGCAGAAUUUUAAUUAGACAGUCUGUUCGACUAAUAAAUUUUUACAUGAUUUGAGUUCAAACCGGUGUGAGCCAGGUUGGUUUCUAUCUUUAAAUAAUAAGUUUUCUUUUUAGUACGCAAGGAUCGUUAGAUUUUAUUUUCUG